rnacentral:rRNA from 1 species
UACGAGUGCUCCAAGCGUUAUCCGGAAUUAUUGGGUGUAAAGGGUGUGUAGGCGGUAUUAUUAGUCUUGUGUUAAACCCCGCAGCUUAACUGCGGAUCUGCAUGGGAAACGGUAAUACUAGAGAGUGCGAGAGGUCUGUAGAACUCAUGGUGUAGGGGUAAAAUCCGUUGAUAUCAUGGGGAAUACCAAAAGCGAAGGCAGCAGACUGGCGCAUUUCUGACGCUGAAACACGAAAGCGUAGGUAGCGAAUGGG